rnacentral:rRNA from 1 species
GAUGAACGCUGGCGGCGUGCCUAAUACAUGCAAGUCGAGCGAACAGACGAGGAGCUUGCUCCUCUGACGUUAGCGGCGGACGGGUGAGUAACACGUGGAUAACCUACCUAUAAGACUGGGAUAACUUCGGGAAACCGGAGCUAAUACCGGAUAAUAUAUUGAACCGCAUGGUUCAAUAGUGAAAGACGGUUUUGCUGUCACUUAUAGAUGGAUCCGCGCCGCAUUAGCUAGUUGGUAAGGUAACGGCUUACCAAGGCGACGAUGCGUAGCCGACCUGAGAGGGUGAUCGGCCACACUGGAACUGAGACACGGUCCAGACUCCUACGGGAGGCAGUAGUAGGGAAUCUUCCGCAAUGGGCGAAAGCUUGACGGAGCAACGCCGCGUGAGUGAUGAAGGUCUUCGGAUCGUAAAACUCUGUUAUUAGGGAAGAACAAAUGUGUAAGUAACUAUGCACGUCUUGACGGUACCUAAUCAGAAAGCCACGGCUAACUACGUG